UACAGAGGGUGCAAGCGUUAAUCGGAAUUACUGGGCGUAAAGCGUGCGUAGACGGUUACAUAAGUCGGGUGUGAAAGCCCCGGGCUCAACCUGGGAAUUGCAUUCGAGACUGCGUAGCUAGGGUGCGGAAGAGGGAAGCGGAAUUUCCGGUGUAGCGGUGAAAUGCGUAGAUAUCGGAAGGAACACCAGUGGCGAAAGCGGCUUCCUGGUCCAGCACCGACAUUCAGGCACGAAAGCGUGGGGAGCAAACAGG
rnacentral:rRNA from 1 species